rnacentral:lncRNA from 1 species
UUCAAUUGUGUUGGAUUAUGAUUAGACCAAUUAAUUGAAUGAGCAAGACCAAGGGAUUAGUUGGUUAAUUCCAAUUCAAGGCCCAUUAUUAGAUUGGUUAAGCCCAAUGCAAGAAUAUCGAACCGUGGAUCGAACCGAUUUGUCACCGAAUGGGUAAAACCCAUGGGGAAACCCAUGGGGUGGUGGGCCGAUCACUUGGUGUGUAAGUCAAGCAAAUAACUUG